rfam:Sphingobium sp. TKS chromosome 1, complete sequence.
GCCGGGAGUCGGGCGGACGUAGUCGUCGCGAACCUGGUCAGGUCCUGACGGAAGCAGCCACAGUGAUUUCGCUGCGGGUCGUUCCGGCUCCCACCUCC